rnacentral:lncRNA from 1 species
CUCACAAUCCCCAGGCACCUCAGGCGGCUGCUGGCGUCUUCUACCCCGAGUUAGGGAGGGGACCUGUGUGCAGUAACAAGAAUUUUUCGAGGUUUGGUGUGGAGAUUACUGGUGAAGAGUUUGAGUUGCUACUUGACAGAAUCCCCCUUGAUGAAGAUGGAAAUGUCAGAUGCCUCCAAUUCACGGCCAUGUUGGAUUCUCGAAGUUAUUUAAAAUAAUUAAAAACCGGGUUUCCAGACACUAUCAUAGAAAAAGGAUUUGAAGAUUUAGAUGAAGCAAACCUCAGGUGCUUCGUGCAGGAAAACACGUACAUUCUUUUAAAGAGGUAAGAAGCCUUAUCGUAUUGUUUAA